rnacentral:rRNA from 1 species
AUGAACGCUGGCGGCGUGCCUAAUACAUGCAAGUCGAGCGAACAGACGAGGAGCUUGCUCCUCUGACGUUAGCGGCGGACGGGUGAGUAACACGUGGAUAACCUACCUAUAAGCCUGGGAUAACUUCGGGAAACCGGAGCUAAUACCGGAUAAUAUAUUGAACCGCAUGGUUCAAUAGUGAAAGACGGUUUUGCUGUCACUUAUAGAUGGAUCCGCGCCGCAUUAGCUAGUUGGUAAGGUAACGGCUUACCAAGGCAACGAUGCGUAGCCGACCUGAGAGGGUGAUCGGCCACACUGGAACUGAGACACGGUCCAGACUCCUACGGGAGGCAGCAGUAGGGAAUCUUCCGCAAAGGGCGAAAGCUUGACGGAGCAACGCCGCGUGAGUGAUGAAGGUCUUCGGAUCGUAAAACUCUGUUAUUAGGGAAGAACAAAUGUGUAAGUAACUAUGCACGUCUUGACGGUACCUAAUCAGAAAGCCACGGCUAACUACGUG